rnacentral:tRNA from 1 species
GCCCCACCCAGUAUGGUGGUUAUGACACUCGACAUGUAAUCGAGUGGACUCGGGUUCGAAUCCCGAAUAAGGCA